AAAGGAAUAGACGGGGGCCCGCACAAGCGGCGGAGCAUGCGGAUUAAUUCGAUGCAACGCGAAGAACCUUACCUGGGUUUGACAUGCACGGAAAUCCGGCAGAGAUGUCGGGUCCGUAAGGGCCGUGCACAGGUGGUGCAUGGCUGUCGUCAGCUCGUGUCGUGAGAUGUUGGGUUAAGUCCCGCAACGAGCGCAACCCUCGUUCCAUGUUGCCAGCACGUAAUGGUGGGGACUCAUGGGAGACUGCCGGGGUCAACUCGGAGGAAGGUGGGGAUGACGUCAAGUCAUCAUGCCCCUUAAGUCCAGGGCUUCACGCAUGCUACAAUGGCCGGUACAAUGGGCUGCGAUACCGCAAGGUGGAGCGAAUCCCAAAAAGCCGGUCUCAGUUCGGAUCGGGGUCUGCAACUCGACCCCGUGAAGUCGGAGUCGCUAGUAAUCGCAGAUCAGCAACGCUGCGGUGAAUACGUUCCCGGGCCUUGUACACACCGCCCGU
rnacentral:rRNA from 1 species